CAAUCUCCCGAACUGCAAACCCACGAAUUCACCAGCUCCCGAACUGGAAACAAGGGAAUACUCGAAACUCCCGAACUGCAUACCAAGUAGCACUCCCAACUCCCAAACUGGAGACACACGAAUAGCUGCUAGGAGACGAACAGGAAAAGCCCCAAGCGGCUUACACUCCUGGCAAUCAGUCUCUAGCAGCAUACAGCGCUGAAAGCUGUAGUAUGAACGUCAGUC